CCUACGGGAGACAGCAGUGGGGACUAUUGGACAAUGGGGGGAACCCUGAUCCAGCGACGCCGCGUGAGUGAAGAAGUAUUUAGGUAUGUUAAGCUCUAUCAGCAGGGAAGAACGCAAUGACGGUACCUGACUAAGAAGCACCGGCUAACUACGUGCCAGCAGUCGCGGUAUUACGUAGGGGGCAAUCGUUAUCCGGAUUUACGUGGUGUAAAGGGUGCGUAGAAGGCGGUGCAAGUCUGAAGUGAAAGGCGGGGGCCCAACCCCCGGACUGCUUUGGAAACUGUAUGGCUGGAGUGCAGGGGAGGUAAGCGGAAUUCCUAGUGUAGCGGUGAAAUGCGUAGAUAUUAGGAGGAACACCAGUGGCGAAGGCGGCUUACUGGACUGUAACUGACGUUGAGGCUCGAAAGCGUGGGUAGCAAACAGGAUUAGAUACCCUUGUAGUC
rnacentral:rRNA from 1 species